ensembl:snRNA U1 U1 spliceosomal RNA
AUACUUACCUGGAAGGGGAGUCACCAUGAUCAAGAAGGUGGUUCACCCAGGAAGAGGCUCGGCCAUUCCACUCCGGCCCUGUUGGCCCCUGAAAAUUCCCCCCAAAAUAUUUUGAAGGAUUUCUCUUAUGCUGAAAAAGGCUGAAUUUAUUUGGCCA